AAAAGAAGGAAUUAAAUGUCUUGCAAUAAGCCAAAUAACUCUAGGUACAAAAGCGAACCAUUCAUUAGACAUCCUAAAAGGAUGUAUAUGGAAUUCCAAAGAAAGUGUAUUUCGAUGUCAAAGGAAUAAUAUGUCAUUGGCUGAACGAUUUAUGAUCCAAGGUAGAUAAUGAAUAGUGGAAGAUAUGAACGGUGCCCUAAGGAGAAGAAGGAAUAAUUAGAAGUAUGCUUGCCAAGGAUUCACAUCCUCGUGCCUAUGUAUUCG
rnacentral:lncRNA from 1 species